rnacentral:rRNA from 1 species
ACUCCUACGGGAGGCAGCAGUAGGGAAUCUUCCACAAUGGGCGCAAGCCUGAUGGAGCAACACCGCGUGAGUGAAGAAGGGUUUCGGCUCGUAAAGCUCUGUUGUUAAAGAAGAACACGUAUGAGAGUAACUGUUCAUACGUUGACGGUAUUUAACCAGAAAGUCACGGCUAACUACGUGCCAGCAGCCGCGGUAAUACGUAGGUGGCAAGCGUUAUCCGGAUUUAUUGGGCGUAAAGAGAGUGCAGGCGGUUUUCUAAGUCUGAUGUGAAAGCCUUCGGCUUAACCGGAGAAGUGCAUCGGAAACUGGAUAACUUGAGUGCAGAAGAGGGUAGUGGAACUCCAUGUGUAGCGGUGGAAUGCGUAGAUAUAUGG